GAUGAAGAACGUAGCGAAAUGCGAUACUUGGUGUGAAUUGCAGAAUCCCGUGAACCAUCGAGUCUUUGAACGCAAGUUGCGCCCGAAGCCAUUAGGCCGAGGGCACGCCUGCCUGGGCGUCACACGUCGUUGCCCCCCCAUCUACUCCUUCGGGAUUGCGGGGGGCGGAUGAUGGCCUCUCGUGCGCCUCGUCGCGCGGUUGGCCUAAACGCCAAGUCCUCGGCGACGCACGCCACGACAAUCGGUGGUUGCGAAACCUCGGUUGCCUGUCGUGUGCGGUCGUCGCGCAUCGAGGGCUCGAAAAAAUUGCCGGGCUUCGGCUCGACUUUCAACGCGACCCCAGGUCAGGCGGGGUUACCCGCUGAAUUUAAGCAUAUCAAUAAGCGGAGGA
rnacentral:misc_RNA from 1 species